rnacentral:rRNA from 1 species
UACGUAGGGGGCAAGCGUUGUCCGGAUUUAUUGGGCGUAAAGAGCGUGUAGGCGGUCAGAUAGGUCAGCUGUGAAAACUCGAGGCUCAACCUCGAGACGUCGGUUGAAACCAUCUGGCUAGAGUCCGGAAGAGGAGAGUGGAAUUCCCGGUGUAGCGGUGAAAUGCGCAGAUAUCGGGAAGAACACCCGUGGCGAAGGCGGCUCUCUGGGGCGGUACUGACGCUGAGACGCGAAAGCGUGGGGAGCGAACAGG